rnacentral:rRNA from 1 species
UACGAAGGGGGCUAGCGUUGUUCGGAUUUACUGGGCGUAAAGCGUGCGCAGGCGGUUCGUUAAGACAGAUGUGAAAUCCCCGGGCUUAACCUGGGAACUGCAUUUGUGACUGGCGGACUGGAGUAUGGCAGAGGGGGGUAGAAUUCCACGUGUAGCAGUGAAAUGCGUAGAGAUGUGGAGGAAUACCGAUGGCGAAGGCAGCCCCCUGGGCCAAUACUGACGCUCAUGCACGAAAGCGUGGGGAGCAAACAGG